ACAAGUUUUUAAAAGUGUUCUUUCCCUUACACAGCGCAAGUCCUGCUGUUUCCACCGCUGCUCAGGGGCUCGUCCAUCAUGUCGCACAUUAACGGAUCAGUAUAUUCCAAAGUGUCACUCUCACUCCGUGGAGAUUUUUUGGAUUGGAGGUCCAAAGACAGACGAUGAUGAAGAAGAAUAGAACCAAGCUCCUCUUCAAAGAGUCUCUCUGGUAGCCUGAAGCACUCCUCGAAGAAGUUGACCAGCGACUGACUGAGGUGCUGCCGGGUGCCCUCGUUGUGGAUGAAGUGGCCUUCGUCUGGGUAGAUCUGACAUGACGACAACAACCGCUGCCCUGCUUUGCUAAGUGAAUAAGCACAGUGAUCAAUGGAUGUGCUGCCUGGCACCAAAUGGCUGGAUGAAAUGUUCAUACACUGAGACAAGCUCCACAUACUUUAUGGCGUCCCUCUGGUCCUGCUCCUCCAGCACGCCCACCUUCUUCUGGAUGCGGUGCAGCAAGUUGGUGCCCUGGAAGCCGCUGCCGCGCCCAUCACAACGUGCCACAAUGGCGCCGAAGCUGCUCACCAGCACCGUGGCCCAGUCCAUGUGGAAGCGCUCCGACACGCUCUGGCCACCAGGUGUGCCGUCGCUGCAUGCGGACCAACACAAUAGACGAGUAAGACGCAACCACUACUGUUUCAGUAGAAAGUGAUGUUAUUUUAGCGUGCAUGUCAUACAUGAGCAGCAGCAGAGGGUAGUGGGAGGUUUCCACAAAGCCUGCAGGUUUGAGGAUCUGCAUUGACAAAGCUGUGGAAAGCACACUGUAAAUGAGUAUUACACAGCAAAUCCUAUCCAUCCAUGCAUA